CCAACGGCCCUCUUUAGGGCCACAACUCCUCAAAAAUCCAAUCGUAU
rnacentral:ncRNA from 14 species